GCCGCCGUGGCUCAGCCAGGUAGAGCCAAAUUAGCGCCAAACCCGUCGGUCGCAGGUUCGAAGCCUGCCGGCGGCGCCA
rnacentral:tRNA from 1 species